GAUGAACUGCUAGAAAAGUAUAUUUUGUGACACUUCGAAAACCACAUUUUCGAGAAAUCGUGGGAGAAAAAUAGUUUUGCUUGAGGAAAAACUCGCGGAAAUCAUGUUCAGGCUGGACGCUCUGCCCCAAGUGGACCCCAUGGAGGAGCGGCGCAGAGUCAGGGCGGCAGUAAAUGCGAAUGUUGUGUCAUUCGUUGUUCUUUGCGCCACAAUUCGAUUAGCACCUUUCUUUAUGAAGCAGAUACAAAUGAGUAUCUAAUCUUCCAUCUAAUUAGCAUUUCUAGUCAUUCUGUUCUAGAGGAAGAAUAAUGAAAUUAAAUGAAUUAAAGUUAUAAAA